rnacentral:rRNA from 1 species
CAGUCGCCGCGGUAAUACGUAGGCGGCAAGCGUUGUCCGGAAUUAUUGGGCGUAAAGGGCGCGUAGGCGGUUUAUACAGUCAGAUGUGAAAUUCCUGGGCUCAACCUGGGGACUGCAUUUGAUACGUAUGGACUUGAGUGGAGAAGAGGGUCGUGGAAUUUCCAGUGUAGAGGUGAAAUUCGUAGAUAUUCGGAAGAACACCAGUGGCGAAGGCGACACACUGGCCCAUUACUGACGCUGAGGCUCGAAAGCGUGGGGAGCAAACAGGAUUAGAUACCCCCGUAGUCCCUGUCCUUAUACA